rnacentral:lncRNA from 1 species
UUUGUGUACUAAAAUGGAAUGAGUGUAAAUAUUGUAGGUAUAAUGAAGGAUAUAUGUGUAUGUUUGUGUGCAGGAGAGGAUAUGAUCAAUUUUAGUGUAAAUAAUUUAGGUAAUUUUAUUUGAUGUAUAUGUAUGCCUGUAGCCUUUGUAGGCCUCCUAUUUUUUUUCUAUACAACUGCUAUGCAGUGGUGGUCAAUAAAUCAAUAGGACUUACUGAGAUUAUGAUACAUUUUAUUUGUUUCAAGAAAAAAUAUUUAAGGGUACGUAGGAGCAUUUAAAAUCUUGAAAUCAUUGAUAAGUUCCAGUAAUAAUUUAGAUUGAAAAAAUUAUAUUUUAGAAUUGAAUAAUAUUAGAUUAUGGGAGAAACAUGUUAUUCACAGUAUGACUUGAUGAAGAGAAUUCAAUGAAAUCAUAUAAGGAACGAAUUAUCAUUGUGAAAAAUAUCAUUGAUUUUUUAUUGUAAAUGCAUGAGAGUUUUAUUUGUUUUACAAAUUAACUUCUGGUAAUGAAAAAUUCAAAUUUUCAUGACACUUUAUGAGUUUCCCAAAUUUGGAGGCAAAAGUGAAUACCAUAUGUUACAGUAUAGUAUUUGCUAUGAUUUGAUGAUUGCAAACCUUACAUUGGUUCCAAAGAAAUAAUAAAGGUAUAUGAAAAUCUCAUCUUUCAAGUUGAUUGUGACCUUUGCAGGUAUAUUUUAAUAUAUCCAUGGACUUGAUAGACACCUUCUUCACGAGAGGUGUAUAAACUUAAUAUUUUGCGAUAUACAUGUAUAUAUGAUUGAAUGGGUCGGUAGUGUGCAGGGUACAAGAUUUAAGAUAAAGAAACAAAAGGCCCCUAAUUUUAUAUUUGUUUUUGCUACUUUUUCAGUUUAUCUGUACAAGAACAUAGUGGUUAGAAUUUCUUUAUCCCUUAUAGAGACCUGCAGUUUACAAUAUCAGGAUUUCAAAAUUCCCUGACCUCUUUUUUAUUGUUAUAUUACUUUUAUCCUCUUUUAACCCUAUCAAGAAUAACAGCAACAUUUGGUUUCUAAAUAAAAUAUAGACAUAGAUUUUAUACGAAACUAUGAAAUAGAAUAUCAUUAGGUAAAAAUUUGUUUUGUCUUCAUGCAUAUAUUUGGUCUACUGUGUAAACCUUUUCCUACGUCUACCUCUGAAGGUGUGAGUCUAUCAUAUUUUUUUCCAUUGGCGAGUAACCAUUUAACUUCAAGUGGAGGGAGAUGGGUUAUGGUUAUUUCUGAGUCAGAAUUUUUACCCCCGUGCAAUGCACUGUAGAGUAUUGACAAAAAUCUGGAUCCAGAUAAAAAAAAAUCUCAUCUUCAGGACCAGAAUAUUUUUUCCCCCAAAUUGGGAUUCUGAGGAAAAAAACAUAAAACAUAACCAACCAACCCCCUUGAUGUUAAAUGGUUGUUCCCUUAGUAAUGUUCAUUUUUGACUACUUAUUGGGCUUCUGUAGGACCCACUUUUGGGUCAAGGUCAUGUUUAGAACUGUCAAUGGUCACAAGGUCAUGUUUAGAACUGCCAAAGGUCACAAAGUCAUAUUUAAAGUUGCCACAGGUCACCAGGUCAUUUUUAAGCAGAAUAUAGUUUAAAUGUAAUCUGAUUAUUUGAUUUAACAUUUUUAAAAGUCACAGGCCCUUUUAACUAUGACCUCAUGUUGCGAGGUCUCCCACCAUGCCCUCUGGUCACAGAUGUUAGAGUAAAUUUAGGCUUCUUAAAAGUCGUCUUAUCGACAUUAAAUUCAUAAAAAUAUCUUGGGUAUUCAUAAACAAGGCAGCAGCCCAACACCACUGGAAAAUCCAAAAUUACAUUAUCCAUUUCUAACUCUUUAUUUCUUCAAUUCACUCAAGUCUUCUGAUUAAGAUAUUUAAAAAUUUACUGAAUCUUUGAAACAAUUAAAUGGUAGGUGUAAAUCAUUUUCAAAGAUGAAUCUAACGAAAAUUGUACUUUUAUCACUUGUUUUGGAUUAACAAUUUUUACUUUUAAUCACUUAAAAGACUGUCCUGCCAUCACUUCCAAGGCUUUGUUUGGCUAUAGUGGCCAAGAUUGUUUGUUAAAGAUAAAUUCUGACUUACUGUAUAGAUCUCUUAUCCUCAAACUUUUCAGUAGAAUAGAUAAAAAGGUACAUUGACUUACACAUUGCAGGUUGGGAUUCAAUGGUGUGGGGAGGUUGUUUGGCUAUUGUAGAACUUAAUUAAAAAAAUCUUGAAUUUGAACUUAAAAAUAAUGAACUAUGUUAAAUACAUCUUCUCCUUCAUCUAAAGGGGAUUUUAUAUAAGAUUUUCCUAAAAUUAGUAUUUGAAAAGAAAAAGAAAACAUAUUUCAACUUUCUACUGUUGGCAUAUAUUUUGGUGUCACAAAAGUCAAAAGCCCUUGAUUUGCCUCUGCAUUAUAUUCAUGCUUUUCCGCAGAACUUUAAAUAACAGGAAAUAAUGUAUACAUAAAGGUAUAACAUUGGUAAUAUGAUUUAUAAUGAUUGAUGCCAGUUAUUGUGAUAUUUGCACUGUGUAUAUGCAUCAAUGUUUUUGAAAAAUUUGAAAACCAUAUUGUUAAAAACAAUGAGAUUAAAUAUGUUUUAUAAAAUAUGGUUAUUUUCUAUUGAUUCACAUAUUACAACUCAACAUUAUCAAGCUGUA